UCUCAGAACCCUUUUUUCCUCGAACCCCUCGAAACUCCUUUCCUCUCUUUCACUCUCCCAAUCCCGAACUCGAUCUCUCUCUCCCUCUCCCUCUCCCUCUCGCUCGCACUCUCACUUUGCCUGCCUCUCCCCGUCUCUCUCCACCAAUUGAAGAAUCUCCCAAUCUUCAAGAUCUGUCAAUGGUUGGGUGCUUUCUUGUGGUUUACGGGACGAGAUAUUGUUCAAGGAAGUUAAAUGGUAUCAGUAGUGGUUCUUUUGGAACUUGGGAGUUUCAUGCAGGUGUCAAAUGGGCAAUUACAUAUCUUAGAUUGUCCAAACUGUGGAAAUGAUUUCGAGAUUUUCAAGUAUGCCUCAACAAUAUGAACAGAAACUCCAAAAAUCAGCUGGGUCAAGCGGACCACACACCAUAUGAAUUGAGUGACACUAAAACAAGCAAGAGCAUAAAACAUCUUUACACAUGUUUUAUAAUAAGGGUACUGUUCUAGUGGACUAAGCGUAUGGGAAUACUGCUGCACAAAUUCAUCUGCACUAGUUAGAUUCAGGAGCAAAGAGGCUUACCCUCCCAACUGGCAUUAUAUUAAUGCCUUUCUAAAGCUUCCACAUGAUUCUAGUUUUGGUAAACUUCAAUAAAGGCCACCAUGACUUUUCCUCCAGUUUCGCCACUGCACUGUUGAUGGUUUUCCAACAGUUCUUUAUGAUUAUAUUUACUUCAGGUAUAACAUGAAUUAUAGUUUGCUGUUUUCGUCUUCAGUUGUAAAUUUACUAUAAUAGCUUUAUUGGUACAGCUGCCAGCUUCCUGUAAUUUUCUUUUGAACUUAGUAUUAGAGAUCAGUGGGGCAUGUCUUUCUUUUCUUUUUCUUUUUUUUCUUUAAUUUCAAUAUUCUUGUCUUUUUAGGUGUUUGCUCGUUCAAUCUAUGUUGUGUUUAAGAAACUAGUGCAUUUUGGUUCAGCAAUGAUUUGUGAGAAUUGGGAUAUAUAUUUUUUGUUAGCAUCGAUUUAAUUAUUGUAUCAACAUUCUUUCUAAGAUUGCUUCUAGAUGGAGUUGCUAUGAUCCGCCAUGGCCAGGUGGCAACUUGGGAUUGGGUAUCAUAUAUGCAAUCAAUUUUUUUUUGUAUAUACAGAUUGUCUGAUUUUGAUUUUGAUUUCAAUUCUAAUUUCUUCAUUUUCUUAUGUUUUGACUUAACUUUU